ACCCCCGUAGUGUAGCGGUCAAUCAUGCCGGCCUUUGGAGCCGGCGACACCAGUUCGAAUCUGGUCGGGGGUA
rnacentral:tRNA from 1 species